rnacentral:rRNA from 1 species
AGUUAAACGGCCGCGGUAUUUUGACCGUGCGAAGGUAGCGCAAUCACUUGUCUUUUAAAUGAAGACCUGUAUGAAUGGUGGAACGAGGGCUUAACUGUCUCCCUUUUCAAGUCAAUGAAAUUGAUCUGCCCGUGCAGAAGCGGACAUACAAAUACAAGACGAGAAGACCCUUUGGAGCUUAAGAUACAAGAUCAACUAUGUCAAGAACCCCAAAAUAGGUUAAACUAAAUAGCCAACUGAUCCCUAUCUUCGGUUGGGGCGACCACGGGAGAAAAUAAAGCUCCCAUGCGGACUGGGGUUAAACCCUAAAACCAAGAGAGACAUCUCUAAGUCACAGAAUAUCUGACCACAAAGAUCCGGCCUAGCCCGCCGACCAACGGACCAAGUUACCCUAGGGAUAACAGCGCAAUCCCCUUUCAGAGUCCAUAUCGACAAGGGGGUUUACGACCUCGAUGUUGGAUCAGGACAUCCUAAUGGUGCAGCCGCUAUUAAGGGUUCGUUUGUUCAACGAUUAAAGUCCUACGUGAUCUGAGU